AGGGUGACAGCCCCGUACACAAAAAUGCACAUACUGUGAGCUCGAUGAGUAGGGCGGGACACGUGGUAUCCUGUCUGAAUAUGGGGGGACCAUCCUCCAAGGCUAAAUACUCCUGACUGACCGAUAGUGAACCAGUACCGUGAGGGAAAGGCGAAAAGAACCCCGGCGAGGGGAGUGAAAAAGAACCUGAAACCGUGUACGUACAAGCAGUGGGAGCACGCUUCGGCGUGUGACUGCGUACCUUUUGUAUAAUGGGUCAGCGACUUAUAUUCUGUAGCAAGGUUAACCGAAUAGGGGAGCCGAAGGGAAACCGAGUCUUAACUGGGCGUUAAGUUGCAGGGUAUAGACCCGAAACCCGGUGAUCUAGCCAUGGGCAGGUUGAAGGUUGGGUAACACUAACUGGAGGACCGAACCGACUAAUGUUGAAAAAUUAGCGGAUGACUUGUGGCUGGGGGUGAAAGGCCAAUCAAACCGGGAGAUAGCUGGUUCUCCCCGAAAGCUAUUUAGGUAGCGCCUCGUGAAUUCAUCUCCGGGGGUAGAGCACUGUUUCGGCAAGGGGGUCAUCCCGACUUACC
rnacentral:rRNA from 1 species